rnacentral:lncRNA from 1 species
UGGACGUGGAAGUCGGGCAGUGACAACCAAAAACUUUGAAUGAAACAUCAUGUUAUAAAGCAUCCAUUUUAUAUGGGGGUAGUUUCUAUUCGACAUGACUAAAAUAGAAUAGAAUCCCUGUUUGUUAUUUAAUAAUAUAAUCACGAACAAAGACGGUGAAGUGUGCGGUUGGGAAGAGGCGAUGAUGUAUUUAGUGCAAUAAAUUUCUUUUUGUGGGUUACAACUCUUCCGUAUUAAAGAGUAGGAGAAAGCCACGUACAAAGGUAAAUUUACUGAAGUUAUUUUUAGUGUGGAGAGGUAAAGGAGUGGUGAAAAUUAGUACAUGUAAUCUUAAAUGGUGUAUUCAAAGCAAACCAUAAAUGGUGUAUUCCAUAUAAUAAUCACUGUAAAUCUAUGUGAAGAAACUCAGAAGCAACAAAGUGAAGGAAGUUAUAGAUUCACUGCUUUGAAGAAAGGAGGAGGUAAUUUCGUGUGAGAAUAUUCUAAUAAAACAGGUUUCAUAGGAAAUUUACUCUUUUGUGAUAGAAUAACACUAUUCUGAAUCUGUAAUGGAAUACAUUUUGAAAUAUAAAUGGAUUUCCACUUACUUCUAACUGCAGAUGAAUAGCAAAGAUAAGGUUUUACUGGUUGUUGGAGCUUGGGUCAGUGUCACACAUAAAAGAUAGGUUUUCCAACCAGACUAUUCCUUCAAAGGUGAGCACUACAUUAGCCUCUACAGCGGUAUGAACAUGUCUGAUUUAGCCAGGGGAAUAAGAGAGGAGAUAGAUCCAACUUAUGAAGGAGUGAAUUUGAAACUAUCUUAU